rnacentral:rRNA from 1 species
GACGAACGCUGGCGGCGUGCUUAACACAUGCAAGUCGAACGGAAAGGCCCUGCUUUUGUGGGGUGCUCGAGUGGCGAACGGGUGAGUAACACGUGAGCAACCUGCCCUUGACUUUGGGAUAACUUCAGGAAACUGGGGCUAAUACCGGAUAGGAGCUCCUGCUGCAUGGUGGGGGUUGGAAAGUUUCGGCGGUUGGGGAUGGACUCGCGGCUUAUCAGCUUGUUGGUGGGGUAGUGGCUUACCAAGGCUUUGACGGGUAGCCGGCCUGAGAGGGUGACCGGCCUCAUUGGGACUGAGAUACGGCCCAGACUCCUACGGGAGGCAGCAGUGGGGAAUAUUGCACAAUGGGCGGAAGCCUGAUGCAGCAACGCCGCGUGCGGGAUGACGGCCUUCGGGUUGUAAACCGCUUUCGCCUGUGACGAAGCGUGAGUGACGGUAAUGGGUAAAGAAGCACCGGCUAACUACGUG